CGUGUGUGUGUGUGUGUGUGUGUGUGUGUGUGUGUGUGUGUGUUGAAAGCUUCGAAGGCACCUUAGCCGAUCAGUAUUUAGAACCGAAAUUACAAGCAGUCAACGUCCACUUUAUUAGGAACACCUAUAGGCCUAGACCUGCUCAUUCAUACAUAUACAAUACAAUCAGCCAAUCAUGUGGCAGCAAUUUAAUGCAGGAAAUCACGCAGAUACAGGUCAAACAUCAGAAUGGAGAGAAAUGUGAAAUCUCUGACUGUGGCAGUCGGAUUGGUUAAAGUAUUUCAGAAACUACUGAUCUCGUGGGAUUUUCACACACACACACACACACACACACACACACACACACACACACUUCUAGAGUUAAUGGUCCUGUGGGCGGAAAUGCCUUGUUAAUGAAAGAGGUCAAAGGAGAAUUGGCGGAAAAGACCAGGUGACAUUUUUCCAACCUGCUUUCUUCCAGCUGCCCAGUUCUGGUGAGUCUGUACCCACUGUAGCCUUAGAUUCCUGUUCUUGACUGACAGGAGUUGAACCCCAUGUGGUCUUCUGCUGUUGUGGCCCAUCCACCUCAAGAUUCGGCCAUUUUCCUCUGCCCUCUCAUCAUUAGCAAGGUGUCUCCACCUGCAGAACUAGACUCAAACUAAUCCGUCUGGCAUCAACACCUUCUGCCACGCCUUUAUGAGACAGCAGAGAUGUUGGAGGUUGGAGAACACUGGAGAACCCGGACGAAACCCACACAGACACAUGGAGAACAUUUAUUACACAAUUAUUGGACUGUACGAUAUGGGACUGUGCAAUAAUUAUGGAGUUGUGCAUAAACUGUGGAGUUGUGUAACAGUAACGAGGCUGUGCAAUCACCUCAGGUGAAACACUGUCGUUUUAACUCAGAUGAUGACACUACAUGUGAUGUAUGUAUGUAAAUUUGUGAUUGAAUAUAUUGUGUGCAAUUGUGUAUGUUGUCGCUCAAAGCGUUGAGCCCAAGAAAAGUUUUUCCAGAGUGUAUAUCUUCUCUUAUAUUAUGUACAAAAACUCCACUCAGCCCACAUGGACCACUCCAUUACCCCACCAUGAUGUAUCGCCUGAAGAAAUAAGACCAGGAAAUAUCCACAACACAGCCCAUUCUGUUACUGUGUUCUACCUGGGAUCAACCUUAACAAUCCAAUCCUGGUGAUUAAAGGCACAGUCAAAGAUUUCCAAGUCAAAACACUUUUUAAUACUUGGUGUCGUUUAUUUCCUCACAAUCCUAG
ensembl:lncRNA